GGCGCUGUGGCUUAGUUGGUAAAAGUACCUGUCUCGUAAAGAGGAGAUCUGAGGUUCAAAUCCCAACAGUGCCU